rnacentral:rRNA from 1 species
UGGGGAAUUUUGGACAAUGGGGGAAACCCUGAUCCAGCAAUGCCGCGUGUGCGAAGAAGGCCUUCGGGUUGUAAAGCACUUUUGUCAGGGAAGAAAUCCUUUGGGCUAAUACCCUAGGGGGAUGACGGUACCUGAAGAAUAAGCACCGGCUAACUACGUGCCAGCAGCCGCGGUAAUACGUAGGGUGCAAGCGUUAAUCGGAAUUACUGGGCGUAAAGCGUGCGCAGGCGGUUGUGUAAGACAGGUGUGAAAUCCCCGGGCUUAACCUGGGAAUUGCAUUUGUGACUGCACGACUAGAGUGUGUCAGAGGGGGGUGGAAUUCCACGUGUAGCAGUGAAAUGCGUAGAUAUGUGGAGGAACACCAAUGGCGAAGGCAGCCCCCUGGGAUAACACUGACGCUCAUGCACGAAAGCGUGGGGAGCAAACAGGAUUAGAUACCCUGGUAGUCCACGCCCUAAACGAUGUCAACUAGUUGUUGGGGAUUUACUUCCUUGGUAACGUAGCUAACGCGUGAAGUUGACCGCCUGGGGA